CAGUCGCCGCGGGAAUACGAAGGGUGCAAGCGUUAAUCGGAAUUACUGGGCGUAAAGCGUGCGUAGGCGGUGAGUUAAGUCUGCUGUGAAAUCCCCGGGCUCAACCUGGGAAUGGCAGUGGAUACUGGCUCGCUAGAGUGUGUCAGAGGAUGGUGGAAUUCCCGGUGUAGCAGUGAAAUGCGUAGAGAUCGGAAGGAACAUCUGUGGCGAAGGCGACUAUCUGGGCCAACACUGACACUGAGGCACGAAAGCGUGGGGAGCAAACAGGAUUAGAUACCCCCGUAGUCCCUGUCUCUUAUAA
rnacentral:rRNA from 1 species